rnacentral:lncRNA from 1 species
GAGAGAGAGAGAAUUAUACACCAACAGAUAGAUAGAGAGAGAGAUAGAAAUCGACAUGCCAACAGAAAAACUUUUUCUUUUUUUUCUUGAGAGAGAGAGAAAGAUUUAUACAUACCGUCGGGGAGUGGGAAGAAGGUAUCUCUGUGAAAUUGAUGCACCAGGGGACAGAAAAAUAACCAACAAGACCAGUGGAAAAACUAUGAGAACAGCACUGAACACUGGCUUGGAGUAGAAGAAGGUCAUGGCCUUAUGAAACCUCUUCGCUUCCAUUGCUCUAGCACUUAGUAGAGGCAGCCAUUCCAAGUUUUAGUGCGAGAAACCCUAGAAUUUGGUCCCUACUAACAAAUAUUUUCGAUCACUACGGCAAGAGAGAGCGAAAUGGAUCUCCAGGGGUAAGGAUAGCACGUUGCCACAUUUAAAGUAGCGGAUCAAUCUGAAAAAGUUUCUGGAUCAGUUUCUGGAGAAGGAUUUGAGAAAUU